rnacentral:misc_RNA from 1 species
AACUUUUGACAACGGAUCACUUGGCUCUCGCAUCAAUGAAGAACGCAGCGAAAUGCGAUACGUAAUGUGAAUUGCAGAAUUCAGUGAAUCAUCGAAUCUUUGAACGCACCUUGCGCCCCUUGGCAUUCCGAGGGGCACACCCGUUUGAGUGUCGUGAAAUUCUCAAACCUUCUUGGUUUCUUGAUCAAGAUGGCUUUGGACUUUGGAGGCAUUUUGCUGGCUUUGCGAAAAGCCAGCUCCUCUUAAAUACAUUAGUGGGAUCCCCUUUGCCGAUCCCCAGGCGUGAUAAGAUAUUUCUAUGUCUUGGGAUUUGCUCUGUUCCUUGGGAACCCGCUUCCAACCGUCUCAUGGGAGACAUCGUUCGAGUUUGCUCGACCCACGAACCUUGACCUCAAAUCGGGUGAGACUACCCGCUGAACUUAAGCAUAUCAAUAAGCGGAGGCU